rnacentral:lncRNA from 1 species
CUUCUUGAGGUUGUUGAGUUUGUUCUAUAGGUGGUGCUUGAGGAAGAAUCUCAUUGUUGUCUUGGUCUGAAACAAUGUCAGGAAUAGGAGCCUGAACAUUGUCAUCUAUUGCCAGAACUGUGUCUUGAACAACAAUAGGUACAGAGACCUGAUUGCUGUCAAUAACAGAUUCUUCUUCAAAGACAACGUUCCUUAUGUUUCCUUCCCCUCCAAACUCAAUAUCCUCAAGGAAUCUCGCAUUUCCCGUUUCAAAGAAGGAUCUUGAUGUGGGAUAGUAAAACUUAUAGCCCCGAGAGCGUUCA